GGUCCGGUGGUGCAGUCUGGUCAGCACGCCGCCCUGUCAAGGCGGAGGUCGCGGGUUCAAGUCCCGUCCGGACCG
rnacentral:tRNA from 1 species